GCAUCAGUGGUGUAGUGGUAGCACACGUCCCCAGUAUAGAUGGAAUGCGGGUUCGACUUCCGUCUGAGGUC